rnacentral:rRNA from 1 species
AUUGAACGCUGGCGGCAGGCCUAACACAUGCAAGUCGAGCGGAUGAAGAGAGCUUGCUCUCUGAUUUAGCGGCGGACGGGUGAGUAAUGCCUAGGAAUCUGCCUGGUAGUGGGGGAUAACGUUCCGAAAGGAACGCUAAUACCGCGUACGUCCUACGGGAGAAAGCAGGGGACCUUCGGGCCUUGCGCUAUCAGAUGAGCCUAGGUCGGAUUAGCUAGUUGGUGAGGUAAUGGCUCACCAAGGCGACGAUCCGUAACUGGUCUGAGAGGAUGAUCAGUCACACUGGAACUGAGACACGGUCCAGACUCCUACGGGAGGCAGCAGUGGGGAAUAUUGCGCAAUGGAGGCAACUCUGACGCAGCCAUGCCGCGUGCAGGAAGAAGGCGCUACGCGUUGUGAACUGCUUUUAACCGGGAAGAAACCCCAGGACGUGUCUUGGGUUGACGGUACCGGAGGAAUAAGCACCGGCUAACUUCGUGCCAGCCGCCGCCGUAACAC